CUCCAGAGAACAGCGCCACCUUCAUCAGCAACACAACCAUUCAGGAGUGGUUCUCUGCCAUUUUCAGACACAAGGUCUUCCUGCAUUGGUACAUGAGGGCAUGGACGAGAUGGAGUUCACUGAGGCCAAGUGCAAUAUGAAUGACCUGGUGUUUGCCUACCAACAGUACCAUGAUGCCACGGCUGAGGGGAAGGGAGCGUUUAAGGAGUGGGAUGAGGAGGAGGUGACUUAG
rnacentral:lncRNA from 1 species